UGCUUCAGGUCCCUCUCCUUCAAAACGACUCUCCCUGUAGCUCGCUCCCUCGUUCCCCAAUCUCUCGUCGACGGUGGUAGCUGCCCAGAUAGGCAGAUCCGGUGCUUCCAUGGUGGACGACGGUUACUCCCACGGCACAUACUCCCUGCCCCCUGCCCUCCUACUACGGCAUCUAGGUCGCUUGGUUCCGCCCCCAGGCCACCACAUCAUCACGCUGCACAUCAUCGUCAGCGACCGGGCAGCCGCCGCCACGGUGUCCUCGUCCCUGGUGGCCGCGGAUGUCCCGCCCGCUCAACACGUUCCUACAUCCGGAGGCAAGCUAGUAGUGAUCUAGUCCGUGGUGAUGCUGCCACUCCUCCCCGUUGCUCCUAGAUCCAGCAAUAGCUCACCGGAGGCAAGCCGGUGGUGUUCGAUCUCCUCGCCUCCUUCGCCUCGCAGGAUCAGAAACAAAGUCUGAUCUCUCCCAGCACAAGAAGCUCGAUAAGCACGCUAGUAAUGGAGGCUUUUUUGUUGUGUACCAUCAAGUAGCAAAAGUUGAUGCAAUUUUUACUGGCAAUGCUUGCUGAAACGGCGAUUAUUUUGGUCCUUCAUAAUUAGUCUUGCAUGAGAUGUAGCAAAAACGAUCCUCUCAUGAUAUGUUACACUUGAUAAGAUAUGUAUGUGCGUCUCUUCUGUUAUGUUCGGUCUGGGAUCAUGCAAUUUCAAAUGUAUGUUUCGUUAUGAUUUCAAGUGGAUGGAUAAUGUUCUCAUGUACUCUAAUAUUUGUGAUGAUGUCCACCUACUUUUAGUGACCAACAUGUUUGGAUUUCUUGCAUGAUUUCUGAUGUAGCAGAAGUUAGUAAUGAAACCAAAUAUACAUGAGUUCUCGUACA